UACGGGGGGGGCAAGCGUUGUUCGGAAUUACUGGGCGUAAAGGGCUCGUAGGUGGCCAACUAAGUCAGACGUGAAAUCCCUCAGCUUAACUGGGGAACUGCGUCUGAUACUGGAUGGCUUGAGUUUGGGAGAGGGAUGCGGAAUUCCAGGUGUAGCGGUGAAAUUCGUAGAUAUUCGGAAGAACACCAGUGGCGAAGGCGACUUACUGGACACAUAUUGACGCUGAGGUGCGAAAGCGUGGGGAGCAAACAGG
rnacentral:rRNA from 1 species